AGUUUUUGUGCUCGGCUGGGCGGUGCGGAGUUACUUUUGUAGCCCUCCCUCCACCACCGGUCUUUUUUUCUCUCCCUUUUUUUCCUUGUCAAUGCUGCUGCCCCUCGUCUAAAGCAUUGUGUCAUCUGGUCAACACAGACAGACAGAGCCCCGGUGACACGGUUCCAUCAACAGUCCCAGUGCGCCACGCCGCUAAGUCAAGAAUUGGACAAUACCCAAAGAGCCAUGGAACCGGCUCGUGGAACUCUACGGGUGUGUAGUUGACAUCAAGAUGAAGGCCAGGUUUAAAGAUGGGCGUGGACAUCUCCGUGAGUACUGAGUGCUAAUGUAGUAAAGACUUUUGAGGACUCAUUAUUUGGAGUGUGAAAACUAGAGCAAAACUCAGAGCAUGAAAACUUGAGAUGCUCUCAAUUUUCAUCGUAAUCAACCUUUUCCUUUUCCCCGAUGACACACCAAACUGUCUGCCGUGAAAACGGUCUAUUCACGAGCCGGAAGAGUGGAAAUUAAACUGGUUGAUAUUCUGCUCGUUGACUCUAUGAACUUGCCCUGACCUCCUUCCUUCAGGCAGCACGAACAAAGCAACACACAUGGGAUCGUACACUAAAUAGAGAGCAUUUCGCUCCACUUGUG